UACCGCCUGAACUCUGUCUUGAACCACUGUGCUCAGGGGAGAGCGCGAACGCAGUCCCCCACUACCAGAAAUUAUGCAGUCGAGAUUCCCACAUUUGGGGAGUUCGCAGACAUCUGCCCAGGGAACGUGCAAUGGUAACUGUAGACUGUAGACUCUCGUCCAACGAGAAGCCGCGAUUGUCUACAGUUUGCUUAGACCCUGGGCUAAUCGGAGGGAUGCAUUGUCUAAAGUUUAAAAUCAGGGCCAAUCAGCGCUGAGGAUUUUCCAAAGUUUCUCUUGCUCUGAAUGCUCAAUUUAUCGGGUCAGAAAGUUCAUCUGCUGUCGAGAUUAGUUCGUAUGUUAAAGUGAUUUUGUGUGGAAAGUUAUUUUUAUACUGUUAUAUUGAUGCACAGUAUGUUUUGUUCACGACAUGUUUGAAAUAUCUCACUUUUUGAGCAGUAUUCGUGAGGCUGCGCCUUCAGAAAGUACACCUGUUGUUGAGAUUUCGUGUGCAUUUUGUCUUUGUUCGUGAGGCUGCGCUGUCAGCAAGUACACCUGUCAUAGUGAUUUAGAGCGGUAGGUUAUUUUUAUCCUGUUCUGAUAAACAGUAUGUUUUGCUCACAUCACAUUUAAAAUAUUUCACUGUGUGUGCAGUAUUUUGUCUGUGUGCCUGACGCUGCGCUGUCAGACGUUCAUCCAUUACAGAGAUUUUGUGCGGUAAGUUAUUUUUAUUGUUACAUUAAUGCUAAGGUCACA